UGUCCCAUUGUGUAAUGGUAGCACAGCAGAUUUUGGUUCUGUCAGUCAAGGUUCGAAUCCUUGUGGGACAACAA
rnacentral:tRNA from 8 species